rnacentral:rRNA from 1 species
GACAGAGGGGGCAAGCGUUGCUCGGAAUUACUGGGCGUAAAGGGCGCGUAGGCGGAAUGGCAAGUCGGUCGUGAAAUCCUUCGGCUCAACCGAAGAACGUCGAUCGAAACUGCCGUUCUUGAGGAUUGCAGAGGAGACUGGAAUUCCCGGUAUAGCGGUGAAAUGUGUAGAGAUCGGGAGGAACACCGGUGGCGAAGGCGGGUCUCUGGGCAAUUCCUGACGCUGAGGCGCGAAAGCGUGGGGAGCAAACGGG